ensembl:ncRNA lncRNA:CR43199 long non-coding RNA:CR43199
UAUGCCACGGCGAAAAGGGUCGACUAAACGAGAGGAGUCUUUUUGCCAUUUCUUUGGGGCUAGAGUUUGCCGAUCGUUCAGUGGGCGGCGCCACUUUGCGGUGAUGUCCCCGAAUACGUCUUUCCGAACAUCAGAACUGUCUUGUAGUCGAGCAGCAAAACGGAUGGUGUUACAUUGGUCACUAAAAUAUGCGGAUAACCCGGAGCAGGACCAAACCAUUUUACGCAUUAACUUUAAAAACAUUACUCAUUACAUAGACCAGAUAGAGAAGCUUGUGAAUUGAUAGUGUAGAUGAGGCUUUAGUGCCUUUCAAGUCAACACUUGAGUAACGGGAAACAAUUUUAAAUUCCUUUUUUUUUUUCUUCUGAAGCUCAUAUCUGGAUUAAGGACUCAAGACGAUGUGUAUUUGCUUCUAUGUAGUUAUCGGUCUGAUUAUCCUGCUCGUCAUAGUGGUUGCAUCUAUGAACUUAACCCGCAGAUGAGCCGAACCCUAGGAAUGGAGUUCAAGUUCGAAUAAUCCAGAUAGCCAGCAAGUUUUUGGUGUUUUAUUACUGUAAACAUUUGCAUACAAGACUGCUCUCCCCGCUCCACGCUGGUUACUAUAAUUAACUGAAUAUUUAUUACUGCGGUAGAUAAAAUGUUAUGCGGCUAUUAUUUUAGUUUUACGGCCAACCAAGAAGCCAACAAGCCAACAAGCCAACAGGCAAACUCGGCUAACUGAGCUUAAGCCUCAGACGGAACAUGAACAUGGCAGGCCACCAAAGUGGCGGCUCGUACAUGAAUAUGCAAUCCGAGCCAAAAUGCAGUCGGCGCCCCUUCGGUUUGGCCAACCACGUGGGCCACUCUACCUGAACCACCUUUUAGCCAUCAAGCCAAGCCACCUACACGGAUAAAUCCAGCCAAGAUACACCUAAACCAUUGAACAGUCGGCGCCAAUUAAGUCCACGAAAAGAUCGGAUGGAGGAUUUCAGAGAUGAUGUUUUUAGGAAAGGACAUACGAAUACAUAUGAAAUAAAAAAGUAAUUUCAUACUUAAGUAGAAGACUGGCGUUCUUAAAACUUGAUCAAGGGACUUGCAGUUGUUGAUUUUUCUUGUUAUACCCAUCCAAAAAUGCUUAUCUUUGUUAAAAUCUACAACUAAUAAUAUAAUAAACAAUAAAAGCUACAAUAUGGACAAGUUGGCAACACGAAUUCUGGUGUAAAAUUUUACUGCGCGCGAUGUGAAACAAUCGCUAAUUGUUUUAGGACCUUCGCUUCAGAUGCGGAGGCAAUAAGGUGUGAAAUUCCAGACCGGGUUUUGACUUUUCGCCCGCGGCACAAAAGUUUUUAGCCAGCCAAAUGAAAAUUACGCAUACGCCGCCUUGUCUUACACUGAAGUAAGGAGCGCAAAUGAAUAUAACUCAUACGCCACGUAGCAGCUGCCGGGUAAUUAUAAUCAUUUAAUGAAGAGCACUGUAACGAGAGUUAUGAGACCUUCCACUAAUGUACGCAAAUCUCGUGCGGAUUCAAAAAAAUGAUCUAUAAUGGGUUAAUACAUGUUGUCUGAUUGCUUUGUCACCGCAACUUUAAUUGGUGUCUGUCGCUGAUAAAAAAAAAAAUAAACAAUUUCGCUCCAUUUCACACCAUGGCUAAAAACUCAAUUCGUAUUAAUUGCAAAUGAAAACCCGUGUUUCGUAAUGACAAUUCGACACGCUCAGUCGAUUUAAUCGGGGAGCUAUAAAAGCUCCACCCGCAACU